GUAGGAACCAACAGGUAUUGCCUCAGUAACGGCGAGUGAAGCGGCAAGAGCUCAACUUUGGAAUCGCUCCGGCGAGUUGUAGUCUGGAGGUGGCCACCACGAGGUGUUCUAGCAGCAGGCAAGUCCUUUGGAACAAGGCGCCAGCGAGGGUGACAGCCCCGUACCUGCUUUUGCUAGUGCUUCCUGUGGCCCACCGACGAGUCGAGUUGUUUGGGAAUGCAGCUCUAAGUGGGUGGUAAAUUCCAUCUAAGGCUAAAUAUUGGCGAGAGACCGAUAGCGAACAAGUACAGUGAUGGAAAGAUGAAAAGCACUUUGAAAAGAGAGUGAAACAGUACGUGAAAUUGUUGAAAGGGAAGGGCUUGCACCCAGACACGGUUUCGGCCGGGCCAGCAUCAAGUAGAACGGGGUUAAAAGACCUGGGGAAUGUAGCUACCUCUUGGUAGUGUUAUAGCCCUUGGGUGAUGACCCCUGUUUUGCUUGAGGACAGCGGUCUCUAGGAUGCUGGCGCAAUGGUUGCAAGCCACCCGUCUUGAAACACGGACCAAGGAGUCUAACGUCUAUGCGAGUGUACGGGUGAAAAACCCCUGCGCGGAAUGAAAGUAAGAGGUUGGAACCCUCUCGGGGGUGCACAAUCGACCGACCCAGAAGUGCUCGGACGGGUUUGAGUAGGAGCAUAGCUGUUGGGACCCGAAAGAUGGUGAACUAUACCUGAAUAGGGUGAAGCCAGAGGAAACUCUGGUGGAGGCUCGUAGCGGUUCUGACGUGCAAAUCGAUCGUCGAAUUUGGGUAUAGGGGCGAAAGACUAAUCGAACCAUCUAGUAGCUGGUUC
rnacentral:rRNA from 1 species